UUCUUUCCAAUUGGCUUGGCUGUGAUAAAGCCAGCAAACGGCUAGCUUUUAUUCCGCGAUCAUUCUGAUCUAAAAUUCUUUGUGUGCCAGCUACAUAGCUGAAAUUUCUGGUUAUUGUAAGUACGGGGGUGAAUCCUGCCCUCUGAUGUAUGCACAAGUUCCAUUUUCCUUUAGGAUCAUUUGGGUUAAUGUACAUGUAUGUCAGGACAGAGUUUGAUAUUAUUCCUGUGGAACAGCGAACAACGUUAGGUCAAACACGCCGGUUUCAUUUAAUACUAAGCAUGUUUAAGAAGAAAUGUCAGAGUUCAGUUCCGCUGGCUCGUGAUGUAAGUCAGGAAUUACUGAAGCCAGACACCUACCCUGCUCUUACACCAGUUUUGCACUAGGAUUACUUCACUGAAAUAAAUCAGCUCUUUAACAGGAAUCCACCGUACUGAUAUAUGAGCAGUUCAUAAACUUUAUGCAAACAAGGAAAUCAUGUUACACAGGCCAUGGGUGGGGAAGGAUACACACUGCCAGGGUUCAGCAUAACUCUGCUUCUCACACACCUGAAUGGAGCAGAGGAAUUGCACGCCGUGAGUGCCUGUUUCCAUCAGUAAAGUACUCGGACUAAAAGCAAGGAGCAGAACAUUCCAGCUGCAAUGCUGCCUCCAAGUCACCCCAACACAUGCCAAGCAAUUAUCACAUCCCAUUUCUGGAUGUUCCAGAGGCUUUCAGAAUUAUCCAGCACACUGAAGAGGAGCUGGCUGAAUCACCUGCACCCUUUAGCUGCUCAUGCAUGUAGAUGUUGCAAAAAGGAAUUGAAUUUAUAGUUAUGGGCAGCCUUUAGGAUUUAGGCAGAAGCUCCAUGGAUUCCACUCCUUACAUGCAGGAGUUGCAUCUGUUUUAAAAGUAAAGAGUUGCCUGCACGUAGAAUCAUAGAAUCAUUAAGAUUGGAAGGACCACUUUAAGAUCAUCUAGUCCAACCAUCCGCCUAUGCCUGUGACCACUCUAAACCACGUUCCUCAGUGUUAUACCUACCCUUUUCUUGAACAUCUCCAGAGAUGGUGACUCCACCAUCUCCCUAAGCAGCCUGUUCCAGUGCAUCACCACUCUUCUUGAAAAGAUUUUCCCUAAUAUCUGACCUGAACCUCUCCUGGCACAACUUGAAGACAUUACCUCUCAUCCUAUCUCUUUUAUCUGGAAGAAGAGGCCAACCCCCAGCUUGCUACAACGUCCUUGCAAGUAGUAGUAGAGAGCAAUAAGGUCUCCCCUGUGCCUCCUGUUCUCCAGACUGAGUAAUCCCAGUUCCCUCAGGCACUCCCCAUGAGACCUGUGCUUCAGAACCUUCAUGGCUUUGUUGCCAUUUUCUGGACAAUCUCCAGGGCCUUGAUGUCUUUGUUGUAAUGUGGAGCCCAAAACCAAACACAGUACUUGAGAUGUGACUUCACCAAUGCUGAGUACAGACGUGAUGCCCAUCAAACAUGGGAUAAAGAAUAAAUAAAUCACAGGCUGGGAAUCAGCAGCAAGAAGAAUGUCUUGAAAUUGGUGAUGAGAGUAGAGUUUCUUGGAGAUUCCUGCAUAUCAGGCCCAUGUCAACACAAUUCAGGGCAAUGAAAUGCAAUGGCAUGUGCACAGGUUUCCUAUUGCAUGGACCUGAUGGUCAUCCUUAGUUCAUAACCCAACCUCCCACAUGGAUCCUCCGUGUACUAGACAGUCUGGUGCCAAGACCAUUGUGCUCCUCACAGAGCCAGCCUGGUAUCUUGCCUUGAUUCAAAAAUACUUUUAGGAAGAAAGGCACAAGACAUUUGCUCUAUGUCCUCCAUCUACUUGGCUCCUUUCGAAGCCAGUCCUCCUUAAGGUGCUGUUUCCAGGGUGGUGAUCUGAAAGUAAUCACUGUGGAGAAAACAUAGCCAAAGCCAGCUCCUAUUGUGCAGGUGAGUGAUCUAAGGAACCCGGGAAGCCGUUGACAAAGAAGGGCUAAGAGGAGUCACACAUACAGUGGUGUGGCACUUGUCAGGCCCAGCGCAGCCGCCUGUAGUCUGAAGGUCUGCAGCAGAGCUGAUUGCCCUAUGCUCCCUUCGUGCUCAGCAGAUGGAAAUAAGAACUUCUAGGUGGUUCAUUUGACAAGUGGAUGUAAAAUGGGUCAGAUGGUAGGUAAAUCUACUUUCUGUCCAUUAACUUAAACUGCAAGUUAGGAAAUGAGACGUUGGUGUUUUGGUUUUUUUUAUUGGUGGUUUUGGGGUUUGGGCUUUUUUUGUUGUUGUUUACUUAGUUUUGUUUUAGUUUUUAACAAAGCCCCAGCAAUAUCUUUUUUCUAUAACUUAUUUUUCAAGAACACACACAUAAAAACUGUGGAUUGCACACGUUAUGUUGUGCAGACAAGUUUUCAGAAAGGGUAAGAAUUGUUUUUGACAUGGAAGAGCCAUUUUGGGGAACCUGGAUCACUAGAUAGUUUCAUGAUAUGGAAGAAAAGAAAAGAACUGGAAUAAAAAGUAUUGAAGAAAGCUAAAAAAAUCACAUCCAGCUUUAACUAGGAAACUUUCAGAUACCCCUCUGUGCGCAUCAGUUAGAUCAGCAGUCUAACUGUAAUAGAGAUUCUUGACAUCAACAGUAACAAAUAACACAGCGCUUCCUCCAGCUAAGCUGAUGCUCAGCAUCAGCUGUGCAGUUCCUCCGUGUGAUUCUUCCUAUGACAGCUGUGGCACAAGUACAGCAGCAAUCACCAGAUGGCACUGUUACAGCUUCUUUAUGAGUAAUUUUAACGGUCUCACGAGGAGCUGUUGCAAGUAGCAGAAAGAUCAAUUUCAGUCUUAGCAUAUUAAUCAUAUUUAGUAUAUAAGAAUUCGUUUGGGAGUUUUCUUUCUUCCUUUCUUCCUUUCUUUCCUUCUUUCUUUCCUUCUUUCUUUCCUUCUUUCUUUCCUUCUUUCUUUCUUUCUUUCUUCCUUUCUUUCUUCCUUUCUUUCUUCCUUUCUUUCUUCCUUUCUUUCCUUCUUCCUUUCUUCCUUCCUUUCUUUCCUUCUUUCUUUCUUCCUUUCUUCCUUUCUUUCCUUCUUCCUUUCUUUCCUUCUUCCUUUCUUUCCUUCUUCCUUUCCUUCUUCCUUUCCUUCUUCCUUUCCUUCUUCCUUCUUUCCUUCCUUCCUUCCUUCCUUCCUUCCUUCCUUCCUUCCUUCCUUCCUUCCUUCCUUCCUUCCUUCCUUCCUUCCUUCCUUCCUUCCUUCCUUCCUUCCUUCCUUCCUUCCUUCCUUCCUUCCUUCCUUCCUUCCUUCUUUUUCCUAGGAGUCCGACGUUGAUGCUUGGGUUGAAGUUCUUGACAGCAAUCAUUUAUGACAGUGCUGUUUGUGACAAGGUCCUGUCAAGACUGAUUUAUGCAGUAAAAUUAAAUAAGCAACAUUAAAAAUAAACCCUGAUGUGCCUUACUAAUUUAUCCUAUAUAACAAAUGAUAUAUUAAGGCCUGAAAUCCUCUGCAUCUGAACAGACGGGCCACAUUAUCAUGGCAUUCUCUUGUAAAUAGAUUUAUGAA